rnacentral:rRNA from 1 species
UUCGGAGCUAACGCGUUAAGUCGACCGGCUGGGGAGUACGGCGCAAGGUUAAAACUCAAAUGAAUUGACGGGGGCCCGCACAAGCGGUGGAGCAUGUGGUUUAAUUCGAUGCAACGCGAAGAACCUUACCUACUCUUGACAUCCAGAGAACUUUCCAGAGAUGGAUUGGUGCCUUCGGGAACUCUGAGACAGGUGCUGCAUGGCUGUCGUCAGCUCGUGUUGUGAAAUGUUGGGUUAAGUCCCGCAACGAGCGCAACCCUUAUCCUUUGUUGCCAGCGGUUCGGCCGGGAACUCAAGGGAGACUGCCAGUGAUAAACUGGAGGAAGGUGGGGAUGACGUCAAGUCAUCAUGGCCCUUACGAGUAGGGCUACACACGUGCUACAAUGGCGCAUACAAAGAGAAGCGACCUCGCGAGAGCAAGCGGACCUCAUAAAGUGCGUCGUAGUCCGGAUUGGAGUCUGCAACUCGACUCCAUGAAGUCGGAAUCGCUAGUAAUCGUAGAUCAGAAUGCUACGGUGAAUACGUUCCCGGGCCUUGUACACACCGCCCGUCACACCAUGGGAGUGGGUUGCAAAAGAAGUAGGUAGCUUAACCUUCGGGAGGGCGCUUACCACUUUGUGAUUCAUGACUGGGGUGAAGUCGUAACAAGGUAACCAAGGGCGAAUUCCAG